GACGAACGCUGGCGGCGUGCUUAACACAUGCAAGUCGAACGGAAAGGCCCUGCUUUUGUGGGGUGCUCGAGUGGCGAACGGGUGAGUAACACGUGAGUAACCUGCCCUUGACUUUGGGAUAACUUCAGGAAACUGGGGCUAAUACCGGAUAGGAGCUCCUGCUGCAUGGUGGGGGUUGGAAAGUUUCGGCGGUUGGGGAUGGACUCGCGGCUUAUCAGCUUGUUGGUGGGGUAGUGGCUUACCAAGGCUUUGACGGGUAGCCGGCCUGAGAGGGUGACCGGCCACAUUGGGACUGAGAUACGGCCCAGACUCCUACGGGAGGCAGCAGUGGGGAAUAUUGCACAAUGGGCGGAAGCCUGAUGCAGCAGCGCCGCGUGCGGGAUGACGGCCUUCGGGUUGUAAACCGCUUUCGCCUGUGACAAAGCGUGAGUGACGGUAAUGGGUAAAGAAGCACCGGCUAACUACGUG
rnacentral:rRNA from 1 species